ensembl:lncRNA
CUUUUCCUUUGUUUUACUGGAGUUGAAGUGCACGGAUGACUUGGAACUCAUGGCGCUGCUUAUACAGCACUGGAAGAAGUAUCUGAGUGGCAGAGCAUCCUCCACUCGAAAUUUCAGCUGGAGCAUCUGCCCUUCCCAGGAUGACAGCUCACAUAAAAGUGUUGGAGAAGGCCUUCAAGCAGAGUUUGACUUAAUGGGCACUAAGAAACAUGAUCACAAGGGGCCAUUCCGUGCUCAGGGGGCAGACAAGAUGGCACUCCUGAUAAGGAAUCACCUACACCAGCCAUCCUGAGGACCUAUAGCUCAAACCUCAAAUAUGUGAGGAGGAGGAGGAAGAGGAGUGUUGGAGGAAAGCAAUCUCUCAGAGCUCUGACAAUUCCAGUCACAGCCUCUUAGUUCAUUUCCAUCUAUCCCCAGCAAUAAAGACGAAAUUCG